rnacentral:rRNA from 1 species
CCUACGGGGGGCAGCAGUAGGGAAUCUUCCGCAAUGGACGAAAGUCUGACGGAGCAACGCCGCGUGAGUGAAGAAGGUCUUCGGAUCGUAAAGCUCUGUUGUUAGGGAAGAACAAGUACCGGAGUAACUGCCGGUACCUUGACGGUACCUAACCAGAAAGCCACGGCUAACUACGUGCCAGCAGCCGCGGUAAUACGUAGGUGGCAAGCGUUGUCCGGAAUUAUUGGGCGUAAAGCGCGCGCAGGCGGUCUCUUAAGUCUGAUGUGAAAGCCCCCGGCUCAACCGGGGAGGGUCAUUGGAAACUGGGAGACUUGAGUGCAGAAGAGAAGAGCGGAAUUCCACGUGUAGCGGUGAAAUGCGUAGAGAUGUGGAGGAACACCAGUGGCGAAGGCGGCUCUUUGGUCUGUAACUGACGCUGAGGCGCGAAAGCGUGGGGAGCAAACAGGAUUAGAUACCCUGUAGUC